GGAUACAAACUAGUUAACUCACCUCCUCAUUACCCAGGUCAUAUUUUUAAGCUUAGGUCCAAAUGUGUGGGAGAGAGAAUGCUGGAAAGAUCUGGAGGUUGGAAGGUUGGAAGGAGUUUUGAAAUGGGAGGGAAUUCAGCCAUUGCUUUCACUCCUCUUCCCGCCUGAGUCCUCAACAAAAGGGACAUUUCCCCUUCUUUUAAAGACUUCCUGAUAAAAGGAGUCUUCAUGGACACCCCCAUAAGCAUAAGGCAGCACAAGGGAGGGAGCUCCGGUGGUGGCGGAGUUGGGACACUCAGGCACAUGGUUGCAGAGGCGCAAAGGUGUGACCGUUCUAGGUGUAUCUUCCACAGGGCCCUCGUGGAAGGGACCAACUGCAUCCCCUAAAACUGCCAGGGCAGCUUCCCAUGAUGCUGGGCUGAGUCCAGAUUUCUAGAUUUGGCUGGUGCAAGCUCCUGGUUUGCUAGAAAAUUGCUGAUGAAAUAGGAGGGUUGUCAGGCCAUGGGACAAAUCUGCCGCUGUCCUCAGGGGUCACCCUGCCUGGCUUUGUGUGCUGACAGUCAUGACCCUUUGGACGUCUGCAUGUUUGUCUCUGGGUGAGUGGCUGUGUUGGCAUUUAGUUUUCAUUUGCUAUAUGAUGAGCAAAGAACCACAAAGAAGUCCUAAACACACCUGGUGCUAAAAAGUGAUUACCCUUGCCCUUGUUUUAGGACUUACAGCUACUUUUUCUUUCUGUAGCUUCCAAAUAUUUUAUUUUUUAUAAUUAAGAAAGUAAAUUUAUAUUAAAUUUCUUUUCUGAGACAGAGUCUCGCUCUGUCACCCAGGCUGGAGUGCUAUGGUGCAAUCUCAGUUCACUGCAACCUCCGCCUCCAGGACUCAAGCCAUCCUCCCACCUCAGCCUCAUGAGUAGCUGGGACCCAGCUCUGCCUGGCUAAAUUUUGUAUUUUUUGUGGAGAUGAGGUUUUUUAUGUUGCGCAGGCUGUUCUUGAACUCCUGGGCUCAAGUGAUCCACGUGUCUUGGCCUCCCAAAAUGCUGUGGGAUUACAGUUUUGAACCACUGUGCCCAGCCUAUGUUAAAAUUAAUUUUUCCAUUUAAAAUGUCGUUAAUUAAAAUUCAUAAAAUUUAUAUCAAAAUCAUAGCCUAGAAUCUCUGCAUAUGUAAGAAUCACUUUUUAAAAAGAUGAUUUAGGAUGUUGAUAGCAUCUUAUGAAUUGUUUAGAGCUGCACUGUCUGACAUGGUAGCCAUUAACCACGUGUGGUCAUCGAGUGCUUGACACGUGGCCAGUAGAAAUUAAGAUGCGCUGUGUAUGUAAAAUACACACCCAAUUUCAAAAACUCAGUACAAGUGAAAAUGUAAGCUAUUUUCGUAAUUUUUGUAUAAUGAUUACAUGUGAAAUGAUAAUAGCUUAUAUAAUAUUAGGUUAAAGAAAGCAUUAGAAUUAAUUUCAUCUGUCUCUUUUCACCUCUUAAUGUGGUUACUAAAAAAUUUUAAAUUACAUAUGUGAGUGUUGUAUAAAGAAGAGAAGGUUAGCAUUCCCCUUGACAAGGAUGGAAGAGGCCUGUACAACACUCAUAUAACUUCGGCAUUGCCACCUUCUUUGUAGCAUCUAACCAUGGUUUUGAGGAUGGAAAAUGAUUGUGUAAUUGGUACGAGGUUUCCUUUGUGAUGAUUAAAAUGUUCUGGAACUAGAUAGUGGUGUCAGUUACACAAUAUUGUGAAUGCACUACAUGCCACUAAUAGUAAAUGUUAUGUAUCUUUUACUGCAAUAAAAAAUUAUGUGUGUCUCACAUUA